rnacentral:misc_RNA from 1 species
UCUGCCUUAUCGGCAAGCGGUCCCAUCAGAGUGCCCAACUUAAUGCUGGCAACUGAUGGCGAGGGUUGCGCUCGUUGCGGGACUUAACCCAACAUCUCACGACACGAGCUGACGACAGCCAUGCAGCACCUGUCUCCGCGUCCCUUGCGGGAACUCCCACUUUCAUGGGAUAGCGCGGGAUGUCAAGCCCAGGUAAGGUUUUUCGCGUUGCGUCGAAUUAAACCACAUACUCCACCGCUUGUGCGGGCCCCCGUCAAUUUCUUUGAGUUUUAAUCUUGCGACCGUAAUCCUCAGGCGGAACACUUAACGCGUUAGCUACGGUACCGAGAGGGUAAGUCUCCCGACACCCAGUGUUCAUCGUUUACGGCGUGGACUAC